AAAACUUCUUGUUGUGAUUUUCCACAGCCGCGACUGACCCUUGUUGACUCCUUGCCACCACUUCAAAACCCUCAGGAAGUUUCGCCACCUCAUCUCCAUGGCUCAUCCAAACAACUUGCCGGUCCCCAACCUUCUUAGUCCCAUACAACGCAUUAGCCUUCUCCACCUCAAUCUCCAUUCUCCCAUACUCCUGUUUCUCCCCAACCUUCACCACACCCCCCAACCUCUGCACAAUCAACUGGAGCCCAUAACAAACACCCAAAACAAAAACCCCAUUCGCCUCCGCCCACUCGACGAACCCAGAAGGGAAACUCGGCGAGUCGUGAGCGUGGACAGAGUGAGGCCCGCCGGAAAGAAUAACAACUUGUGGGUUGAGAUCAGUGAUGGCUUUAAGCGG
rnacentral:misc_RNA from 1 species